rnacentral:rRNA from 1 species
UGAGUAACCUGCCCUUAACUCUGGGAUAAGCCUGGGAAACUGGGUCUAAUACCGGAUAUGACUCCUCAUCGCAUGGUGGGGGGUGGAAAGCUUUAUUGUGGUUUUGGAUGGACUCGCGGCCUAUCAGCUUGUUGGUGAGGUAAUGGCUUACCAAGGCGACGACGGGUAGCCGGCCUGAGAGGGUGACCGGCCACACUGGGACUGAGACACGGCCCUAGACUCCUACGGGAGGCAG